UGACUAUUGUGUCUGCACGGGUGCUGCUGA
rnacentral:piRNA from 1 species